rnacentral:rRNA from 1 species
ACGAACGCUGGCGGCGUGCCUAAUACAUGCAAGUCGAGCGGAGUUAUUCCUUCGGGGAUGGCUUAGCGGCGGACGGGUGAGUAACACGUAGGCAACCUGCCUUUAAGCUCGGGAUAACAUUCGGAAACGGAUGCUAAUACCGGAUAUGCAGUUUUCCCGCAUGAGGGAACUGGGAAAGACGGCGCAAGCUGUCGCUUAGAGAUGGGCCUGCGGUGCAUUAGCUAGUUGGUGGGGUAACGGCUCACCAAGGCGACGAUGCAUAGCCG